GCGCGGCCCGCCCCGCCCCUGGCGGUGGCCGGGGCGUCAGGCCUGGCGGGCGUUCGGGCAGCUGGCGGCGUGAUCGGCGGGGCGGCGGGAGUGAGGGUGCCAUACUGCUGUCAGCAUUGUCAUCCACCCACCACUUCCGCUGCCACUCUGCUCUCUUGCAGACGCCAUACCACGGCAAGCAUGGAGCCCGUUCAGAUCACCGCAGCAGUUAUGACGGCUCUAAACACCACGCGCAUUAUCCAGCAGUAUAUGCAGAACCAGAACCUGCAAAAGCAGGUGAGUAGGCAACGACAGCGCAGUGAGCAGAGUGAUGAGGACAUGGACAAAGACUUCUCUGAAAGUAUGGGCUCCGGCAGUGUGGACAUCAUCGUGGUAAUGGGGCAGGUUCAUGCCGUGGAACACCGAUUCUGGGCCCAGGAAACAAGCACAGAUUGGUGGGACCGCAUAGUGUUGCAAGUCUGGGAUGAUUCCCAAUGGCUGCAAAACUUUCGCAUGCGUAAGGGCACUUUCAUGGAACUUUGUGACUUGCUUUCCCCUGCCCUGAAGCGCCAGAAUACCAAGAUGAGAGCAGCCCUCACAGUUCACAAGCGAGUGGUGUUAGGCCUGUGGAAGCUUGCAACGCCAGACAGCUACUGAUCAGUCGGGAAUCAAUUUGGAGUAGGCAAAUCUACUGUGGGGGCUGCUGUGAUCCAAGUAGCCAACACAAUCACUGAGGUGCUGCUACUAAGUGUAGUGACUCUGGGAAAUGUGCAGGUCAUCGUGGAUGGCUUUGCUGCAAUGGGAUUCCCUAACUGUGAUGGGGCAAUAGACGGAACCGAUAUCCCUGUCUUGGGACCAGAGCACCAAGGCAGCGAGUUCAUAAACCGAAAGGGGUACUUUUCAACGGUGCUGCAAGCACUGGUGGAUCACAAGGGACGUUUCACCAACAUCAACGUGGGAUGGCCAGGAAAAGUACAUGACACUUGCAUUUUCAGGAACUCUGGUCUGUUUCAACAGCUGCAGCAAGGGACUUUCUUCCCAGACCUGAAAAUAACCGUUGGGGCCCAGCCUACCCGUUAAUGCUAUGGCUCAUGAAGCCAUACACAGGGAGCCUGGACAGUAGUCAGGAACUGUUCAACAAUAGGCUGAGCAAGUGCAGAAUGGUAGUAGAAUGUGCAUUUGGACAUUUAAAAGUGCGCUGGUGCAGUACACUGACUCGGUUAGACCUCAGCGAAACCAAUAUUCCCAUUGUUAUUACUGCUUGCUGUGCACUCCACAAUAUCUGUGAGAGUAAGGCGGAGACAUUUAUGGCGGGGUGGGAGAUUGAAGAAAAUCGCCUGGCUGCUGAUUACGUGCAGCCAGACAACAGGGCGGUUAGAAGAGUACAGCAGGGUGCGGGUGCGCAUCAGAGAAGCUUUAAAAACCAGUUUCAUGACUGGACAGGCUACAGUGUGAACGUUCUGUUUGUUUCUCCUUGAUGAAAACCCACGCCGCUUGGUUCACUCUACUUCCCAGUAAGCUAACUCCCCUCCCCUCCCCCCUUCAGUCACCGCUUGCAGAGGCAAUAAAGUCAUUGUUGCUUCCAA